UGGGGAAUAUUGCGCAAUGGGCGAAAGCCUGACCCAGCAACGCCGCGUGAAGGAUGAAGUAUUUCGGUAUGUAAACUUCGAAAGAAUAGGAAGAAUAAAUGACGGUACUAUUUAUAAGGUCCGGCUAACUACGUGCCAGCAGCCGCGGUAAUACGUAGGGACCAAGCGUUGUUCGGAUUUACUGGGCGUAAAGGGCGCGUAGGCGGCAAUUCAAGUCAUCUGUGAAAUCUCCGGGCUUAACUCGGAACGGUCAGAUGAUACUGCUUUGCUAGAGUGCAGAAGGGGCAAUCGGAAUUCUUGGUGUAGCGGUGAAAUGCGUAGAUAUCAGGAGGAACACCUGAGGUGAAGACGGGUUGCUGGGCUGACACUGACGCUGAGGCGCGAAAGCCAGGGGAGCAAACGGGAUUAGAUACCCUAGUAGUCCCUGAGCGGGCUGGCAAGGCGCAU
rnacentral:rRNA from 1 species